ACCAUGCUACCAAACUUUCGUAAAACGUGCCAUGAGAAAUUUAGUGUUUUGUAGACCAUUGGACCUAAUACAACUUCACGCAACUCACAAACGCAUUAUAUCUGAUUAUCCACGACGAGACCUCAUUAUUAACAUGCUACUUUCGUCUAUCCGUUACUCAUGCAAUUCUUAUACUCGUAAUCUUUAAUUAGAUCAAUCGCUUACCCUUAUACCUCGAUUAUUCUUCGUUGUCUCAAACUCCAAAGCCUCAAUUUUAAACAAUCCUCCUCGGUUUGCCAAAAAAAAAACCCUUUCGAGACUUCCUCUUGAAUAAAUUUCGGGACGAAAUUUCCUAAAGUAGGGGAGACUGUAACGCUCCGCAUUUUCAUAACUUCCCUAUUUAGAAAUUGAAUCAAAAAAAAAAUCUAUUUUUAGAAGCCUGGCACUUUUAAAAUUAAAAUCUGUUUAGUCGUCAAAAAAAAAAAAACCUUUUAUCUUUAAUUUAAUUAAUUAUAAACAUGAUUAUUUAUUCUUUUUAAAAUGUAUUAAACUAACUACUUUUGGUAAAAUUAAAACUUUUGUUUUAAUCUAGUUAGCCUCGCUAGAAUUUAAAGUUAAAAAAAAAUACAACUAACCAAGUUAAUCUAGCUACUUAAUUAACUACUCAAAGCUUAGGGACUAAUCCUGUAUUUACUUGAAAGUAUAAUAUGGUACCCAAAACCCUAACUAUUUAUGACUAGUGAAACCCUAAAUGGAUUUGUUGUGGCCGUUCAACAACUUCUUCCCUCUUAAAUGUCCCUCUGCAACAUAUCACAUCCUCACAAGACUUGGAGAAUCACCUUCUUCUCCAAACCCAUCUCAUCUCUCUACCCUCACAACCCCACAAUAUCCUUCCGCAUAUCAUGCACUCUCACUCGAAGAAGAACUAGCCUGCAAGUCCUUCGUGUCAUCGACGAAAACUUGAAAAAGUUAUCAGAGGAUCACGUCGGAGUCUACAUCGGGACAAGUCGCCGUCGCUCCGCUUUCUACAACUCGUCAGAGAGCACGAGACGUCGCCGGAAAAUCAUCACGGAAUCGACACAUCACGUUAUUCAUGGAUGUGCUGUUGUUCACCGUCCUUUUGAAACCCUUAUCGUUUUCAUAUGAUAAACUGCCCAGAUGAGAAUCGCGACCGGCCGAAACCGGAAUCACGUCGACGUCACUGUUUCGGUAUACUCUUUUAUGAUAAAUCGAUCAUCCGUCGAAAUCUUAUAUUGUGUUUCAACGUUAAUAACCACCCAAACUCACCUACACACAGCCAGAACCUUAGUCGCCAGAACCGAAGUUCACCGGAGAACCAGUCGUGGCCGGAAAGAUCAUCGGAAACCCACAGCCUCUUUACAUUCGGUUCGGAUUAUCGUACGGAAUCCUUUUUCCUAUCUUUACUCGUGCAUUAUUUCAAGGGAAUCUCCAUACGUAACCAAUGUUGAUGAGGACGAUGCUAAGAAAAGAAGUAGCGUUGAUGCCUAGAUACACA